CCAUGCCGUAAACGUUGGGCGCUAGAUGUAGGGACCUUUCCACGGUUUCUGUGUCGUAGCUAACGCAUUAAGCGCCCCGCCUGGGGAGUACGGCCGCAAGGCUAAAACUCAAAGGAAUUGACGGGGGCCCGCACAAGCGGCGGAGCAUGCGGAUUAAUUCGAUGCAACGCGAAGAACCUUACCAAGGCUUGACAUACACCGGAAACGGCCAGAGAUGGUCGCCCCCUUGUGGUCGGUGUACAGGUGGUGCAUGGUUGU
rnacentral:rRNA from 1 species